AUUGAACGCUGGCGGCAUGCCUUACACAUGCAAGUCGAACGGCAGCGCGGACUUCGGUCUGGCGGCGAGUGGCGAACGGGUGAGUAAUACAUCGGAACGUACCCUGUUGUGGGGGAUAACUAGUCGAAAGAUUAGCUAAUACCGCGUACGACCUGAGGGUGAAAGUGGGGGACCGCAAGGCCUCACGCAGCAGGAGCGGCCGAUGUCUGAUUAGCUAGUUGGUGGGGUAAAGGCCCACCAAGGCGACGAUCAGUAGCUGGUCUGAGAGGACGAUCAGCCACACUGGGACUGAGACACGGCCCAGACUCCUACGGGAGGCAGCAGUGGGGAAUUUUGGACAAUGGGGGCAACCCUGAUCCAGCAAUGCCGCGUGUGUGAAGAAGGCCUUCGGGUUGUAAAGCACUUUUGUCCGGAAAGAAAUGGCUCUGGUUAAUACCUGGGGUCGAUGACGGUACCGGAAGAAUAAGGACCGGCUAACUACGUGCCAGCCGCCGCAGUAA
rnacentral:rRNA from 1 species